rnacentral:rRNA from 1 species
UACGAAGGGGGCUAGCGUUGUUCGGAAUCACUGGGCGUAAAGCGCACGUAGGCGGAUUGUUAAGUCAGGGGUGAAAUCCUGGAGCUCAACUCCAGAACUGCCUUUGAUACUGGCGAUCUUGAGUCCGGGAGAGGUGAGUGGAACUGCGAGUGUAGAGGUGAAAUUCGUAGAUAUUCGCAAGAACACCAGUGGCGAAGGCGGCUCACUGGCCCGGUACUGACGCUGAGGUGCGAAAGCGUGGGGAGCGAACAGG